GAUGAACGCUGGCGGCGUGCCUAAUACAUGCAAGUCGAGCGAACGGACGAUAAGCUUGCUUCUCUGAUGUUAGCGGCGGACGGGCGAGUAACACGUGGAUAACCUACCUAUAAGACUGGGAUAACUUCGUGAAACCGGAGCUAAUACCGGAUAAUAUUUUGAACCGCAUGGUUCAAAAGUGAAAGACGCUCUUGCUGUCACUUAUAGAUGGAUCCGCGCUGCAUUAGCUAGUUGGUAAGGUAACGGCUUACCAAGGCAACGAUGCAUAGCUGACCUGAGAGGGUGAUCGGCCACACUGGAACUGAGACACGGUCCAGACUCCUACGGGAGGCAGCAGUAGGGAAGCUUCCGCAAUGGGCGAAAGCCUGACCGAGCAACGCCGCGUGAGUGAUGAAGGUCUUCGGAUCGUAAAACUCUUUUAUUGGGGAAGAACAGAUGUGUAAGUAACUGUGCACAUCUUGACGGUACCUAAACAGAAAGCCACGGCUAACUACGUG
rnacentral:rRNA from 1 species